CUACGGAGGGUGCAAGCGUUAAUCGGAAUUACUGGGCGUAAAGCGCGCGUAGGCGGUUUUGUAAGUCGGAUGUGAAAGCCCAGGGCUCAACCUUGGAAUUGCAUUCGAAACUGCAUGACUAGAGUAUGGUAGAGGGAAGUGGAAUUCCAGGUGUAGCGGUGAAAUGCGUAGAUAUCUGGAGGAACAUCGGUGGCGAAGGCGACUUCCUGGACCAAUACUGACGCUGAGGUGCGAAAGCGUGGGGAGCAAACAGGAUUAGAAACCCUAGUAGUCC
rnacentral:rRNA from 1 species